UACGUAGGGGGCAAGCGUUGUCCGGAUUUAUUGGGCGUAAAGAGCGUGUAGGCGGCCUGACAGGUCUGCUGUGAAAACUCGAGGCUCAACCUCGAGAUGUCGGCGGAAACCGUCUGGCUAGAGUCCGGAAGAGGAGAGUGGAAUUCCUGGUGUAGCGGUGAAAUGCGCAGAUAUCAGGAAGAACACCCGUGGCUAAGGCGGCUCUCUGGGCCGUAACUGACGCUGAGAGCGAAAGCAUGGGAGCGAACAGG
rnacentral:rRNA from 1 species